rnacentral:rRNA from 1 species
GACGAACGCUGGCGGCGUGCUUAACACAUGCAAGUCGAACGGAAAGGCCCUGCUUUUGUGGGGUGCUCGAGUGGCGAACGGGUGAGUAACACGUGAGUAACCUGCCCUUGACUUUGGGAUAACUUCAGGAAACUGGGGCUAAUACCGGAUAGGAGCUCCUGCUGCAUGGUGGGGGUUGGAAAGUUUCGGCGGUUGGGGAUGGACUCGCGGCUUAUCAGCUUGUUGGUGGGGUAGUGGCUUACCAAGGCUUUGACGGGUAGCCGGCCUGAGAGGGUGACCGGCCACAUUGGGACUGAGAUACGGCCCAGACUUCUACGGGAGGCAACAGUGGGGAAUAUUGCACAAUGGGCGGAAGCCUGAUGCAGCAACGCCGUGUGCGGGAUGACGGCCUUCGGGUUGUAAACCGCUUUCGCCUGUGACGAAGCGUGAGUGACGGUAAUGGGGAAAGAAGCACCGGCUAACUACGU